AACGAACUCUGGCUGCAUGCCUAACACAUGCAAGUCGAACGAUACCUUCGGGUCUAGUGGCGCACGGGUGCGUAACGCGUGGGAACCUGCCCUUAGGUUCGGAAUCACUCCCCGAAAGGGGUGCUAAUACCGGAUAAUGUCUUCGGACCAAAGAUUUAUCGCCUUUGGAUGGGCCCGCGUUGGAUUAGCUAGUUGGUAGGGUAAAAGCCUACCAAGGCGACGAUCCAUAGCUGGUCUGAGAGGAUGAUCAGCCACACUGGGACUGAGACACGGCCCAGACUCCUACGGGAGGAAGGAGUGGGGAAUAGUGGAAAAUGGGCGAAAGACAGAACGAGCAAUGGCGCGUGAGGAAUGAAGAGGUUAGAGUUGUAAAGACCGUUUACCGGGGACGAUAAUGAAAGUACCGGGAGAAUAAGACCCGGCGAAAAAAGUG
rnacentral:rRNA from 1 species